ACUAUUUUGAGAGUUUGAUCCUGGCUCAGGACGAACGCUGGCGGCGUGCCUAAUACAUGCAAGUCGAGCGCGGGAAGCAAGCUGAUCCCUUCGGGGUGA
rnacentral:rRNA from 1 species